ACAAUGAAGGGUUUGAUCCUGGCUCAGGACGAACGCUGGCGGCGUGCUUAACACAUGCAAGUCAAGGAGAAAGGAAGCCUUCGGGUUUCCGAGUAAACUGGCGAACGGGUGAGUAACACGUAGGUAACCUGCCCUAGGGUUGGGGAUAACACUGCUAACGCGAUGUUAAUACCGAAUAAUGCAGCGGAUCCGCAUGGAUAUGUUGUUAAAGCUGGCCUCUACUUGUAAGCUAGCGCCUUAGGAUGGACCUGCGUCCCAUUAGCUAGUUGGUGAGGUAAUGGCUCACCAAGGCGACGAUGGGUAGCCGGCCUGAGAGGGUGACCGGCCACACUGGGACUGAGAUACGGCCCAGACUCCUACGGGAGGCAGCAGUGAGGAAUAUUGCGCAAUGGCCGAAAGGCUGACGCAGCAACGCCGCGUGAGGGAUGAAGCUCUUAGGAGUGUAAACCUCUGUUAGGAGGGAAGAACAAGUAAAUAUCGAACAGACAUUUACUCUGACGGUACCUCCAGAGAAAGCCCCGGCUAACUCCGUGCCAGCAGCCGCGGUAAUACGGGGGGGGCUAGCGUUGUCCGGAAUCAUUGGGCGUAAAGGGCACGUAGGCGGGAUGAUCAGUCUGAGGUGAAAACUUAUGGCUUAACCGUAAGCUUGCCUUGGAUACUGUCAUUCUUGAGUUCGGGAGAGGGAAGCGGAAUUCCUGGUGUAGCGGUGAAAUGCGUAGAUAUCAGGAAGAACACCGGUGGCGAAGGCGGCUUCCUGGCCCGAUACUGACGCUAAUGUGCGAAAGCGUGGGGAGCGAACAGGAUUAGAUACCCUGGUAGUCCACGCUGUAAACGAUGGGUACUAGGUGUUGGUUCCUUUGGGAUCAGCGCCGAAGCUAACGCAUUAAGUACCCCGCCUGGGGAGUACGACCGCAAGGUUGAAACUCAAAGGAAUUGACGGGGGCCCGCACAAGCGGUGGAGCAUGUGGUUUAAUUCGAUGCAACG
rfam:Candidate division KSB1 bacterium RBG_16_48_16 RBG_16_scaffold_25577, whole genome shotgun sequence.